rnacentral:rRNA from 1 species
GCCCAAAUUUGAAAUCGGGCAACCGAGUUGUAAUUUGGAGACGGGACUAUAAAAAGGAGGAAGGCGAUUAAGUGCCUUGGAACAGGCUGCCGUAGAGGGUGAGAGCCCCGUGAAUCGCUGGAGACCGAUCAAUUAGUGCCCGCCGAAGAGUCGAGUUGUUUGGGAAUGCAGCUCUAAGUGGGUGGUAUAUUCCAUCUAAGGCUAAAUAUUAGCGAGAGACCGAUAGCAAACAAGUACAGUGAUGGAAAGAUGAAAAGAAUUUUGGAAAGAGAGUGAAAUAGUACGUGAAAUUGUUGAAAGGGAAGGGUAUUUGAUCCGACAUGGUGUUUAGCAGCGGCCCGUUCCUCGUGGAUGGGUGCACCUGGUUUACACUGGGCCAGCAUCGGUUCUGGGAGCCAUAUACGGGGUUCGUGAAUGUGGCCCUUCGAUUCUGUCGGAGGGUGUUAUAGCGCGGACAUCUUGUGGCUAGCCGGGACCGGGGACUGCGGUGACUUGUCCCCAAGGAUGCUGGCAUAACGAGCACAUACCACCCGUUCUUGAAACACGGACC